CCUACGGGGGGCAGCAGUGAGGAAUCUUGCGCAAUGGGGGAAACCCUGACGCAGCCACGCCGCGUGAAGGAAGACACUCCUAUGGGGCGUAAACUUCUUUUAUGUGAGAAGAAGAUCCUGUUCGUCAGGAUUUGACGGUAUCACAUGAAUAAGCACCGGCUAACUCCGUGCCAGCAGCCGCGGUAAUACGGAGGGUGCAAGCGUUGUCCGGAAUUAUUGGGUGUAAAGGGUGUGCAGGCGGGGCUGUAAGUCAGGGGUGAAAGCCUACGGCUCAACCGUAGAAUUGCCUUUGAUACUGCAGUCCUUGAGUCCCGGAGAGGCCACUAGAAUUCGUGGUGUAGCGGUGAAAUGCGUAGAUAUCACGAGGAAUACCAGAAGCGUAGGCGGGUGGCUGGACGGGUACUGACGCUGAGGCACGAAAGCGUGGGGAGCAAACAGG
rnacentral:rRNA from 1 species